UGUCUCCUCCUCCCUAAAGCAGUGUGAGGUUACACUCACCCUCUUCACAGCUUGAGGAAGAGACAAACAGUAAUAGCCAGAGGAUCAUUGUCGUGGUAAUCAACAGCUCAAUUGCCAUGUUUUCCUGCCUCUGACAUGC